rnacentral:rRNA from 1 species
GUCCCGGCUGUAAACGAUGCGGGCUAGGUGUUGGGCGGGCGAGAGAGCCCGCCCAGUGCCGCAGGGAAGCCGUUAAGCCCGCCGCCUGGGGAGUACGGCCGCAAACCCGGUUAGGGCUUAAAGCCCUACCGGGGCGGAAGGCUGAAACUUAAAGGAAAGGGAGGCUGGAAGCUGGGUGCGAAGGCUUAAAUAGCUCUUUUAAGCUUCUAAGUUCCAUCUUUACCCUCUUCAUCUGUCUACCCGGCUUCCACUUCCCCCUGAAUUGGCGGGGGAGCACACAAGGGGUGGAGCCUGCGGCUUAAUUGGAGUCAACGCCGGGAAUCUUACCGGGGGCGACAGCAGGAUGACGGCCAGGCUAAAGGCCUUGCCCGACGCGCUGAGGGGAGGUGCAUGGCCGUCGCCAGACACAGUCAUGGCUCCCAUAGUGUUUUCAAAGCUCGCGUCAUAAAGGUUACUUUUAAUAGAAUCCAUUCGAUGGAAUUGAAAGAUGGAAUUGAAGGUGAUAAGAUUAUGGGAGCCAUGAUGUGGGCGAACUCGUGCCGUGAGGUGUCCUGUUAAGUCAGGCAACGAGCGAGACCCCUGCCCCUAGUUGCUACCCCGGGGGCGACCCUGGGGGCACACUAGGGGGACUGCCGCCGCUAAGGCGGAGGAAGGAGGGGGCCACGGCAGGUCAGCAUGCCCCUAAUCCCCCGGGCUGCACGCGGGCUACAAUGGCGGGGACAGCGGGUGCCGACCCCGAGAGGGGGAGGCAAUCCCUUAAACCCCGCCGCAGUUGGGAUCGAGGGCUGAAACUCGCCCUCGUGAACGUGGAAUCCCUAGUAACCGCGCGUCAACAUCGCGCGGUGAAUACGUCCCUGCUCCUUGCACACACUGCCCGUCGCUCCACCCGAGGGAGGCCUGGGUGAGGCCUCUGCCGCCGGGCGGGGGACGAACCUAGGCCUCCUGAGGGGGGAGAAGUCGUAACAAGGUAGCCGUAGGGGAACCUGCGGCUG